rnacentral:rRNA from 1 species
AGGCUUAACACAUGCAAGUCGAGCGCGUAGCAAUACGAGAGCGGCAGACGGGAGAGUAACACGUGGGAACGUACCCUUCGGUUCGGAAUAACCCAGGGAAACUUGGGCUAAUACCGGAUACGUCCGUAAGGAGAAAGAUUUAUCGCCGAGGGAUCGGCCCGCGUCCGAUUAGCUAGUUGGUGAGGUAAUGGCUCACCAAGGCGACGAUCGGUAGCUGGUCUGAGAGGAUGAUCAGCCUCACUGGGACUGAGACACGGCCCAGACUCCUACGGGAGGCAGCAGUGGGGAAUAUUGGACAAUGGGCGCAAGCCUGAUCCAGCCAUGCCGCGUGGGUGAUGAAGGCCUUAGGGUUGUAAAGCCCUUUCGGCGGGGAAGAUAAUGACGGUACCCGCAGAAGAAGCCCCGGCUAACUUCGUGCCAGCAGCCGCGGUAAUACGAAGGGGGCUAGCGUUGCUCGGAAUCACUGGGCGUAAAGCGCACGUAGGCGGGUCUUUAAGUCAGGGGUGAAAUCCUGGAGCUCAACUCCAGAACUGCCUUUGAUACUGAGGAUCUCGAGUCGGGAGAGGUGAGUGGAACUGCGAGUGUAGAGGUGAAAUUCGUAAAUAUUCGCA